rnacentral:rRNA from 1 species
AGCGAACGCUGGCGGCAGGCUUAACACAUGCAAGUCGAGCGGGCAUAGCAAUAUGUCAGCGGCAUACGGGUGAGUAACGCGUGGGAACGUACCUUUAGGUUCGGAACUACUGAGGGGAACUUCAGCUAAUACCGGAUAAGCCCUUACGGGCAAAGAUUUAUCGCCGAAGGAUCUGGCCGCGUCUGGUUAGUUAGUUGGUUGGGUAAUCGCGUACCAAAGUGACUAUCUGUAGCUGGUCUGAGAGGCUGAUCAGCCACAUUGUGACUGAGACACGGCCCGAACUCCUACGGGAGGCAGGAGUGGGGAAUAUUGGACAAUGGGCGCAAGCAUGAUCCAGCCAUGCCGCGUGAGUGAUGAAGGCCCUAGGGUUGUAAAGCUCUUUUGUGCGGGAAGAUAAUGACGGUACCGAAAGAAUAAGCCCCGGCUAACUUCGUG